rnacentral:tRNA from 1 species
AAAAAAUUAGUUAAAUUAAUAACAUUAGCCUGUCAAACUAAAAUUGUCCAAGACAUUUUUUA